rnacentral:rRNA from 1 species
GACAGAGGGUGCAAACGUUGUUCGGAAUUACUGGGCGUAAAGCGCGUGUAGGCGGCCCUGCAAGUCGGGUGUGAAACCUCCAGGCUCAACCUGGAGACGCCACUCGAUACUUCUAUGGCUUGAGUUCGGUAGGGGACCAUGGAAUUCCUGGUGUAGCGGUGAAAUGCGCAGAUAUCAGGAGGAACACCGAUGGCGAAGGCAGUGGUCUGGGCCGAUACUGACGCUGAGGAGCGAAAGCGUGGGGAGCGAAUGGG